GAAGUAGAUAGCUUGCUAUUUACGGAGUGAGUCGCGAACGGGUGAGUAACGCGUAGGUAACCUACCUUUUAGCGGGGGAUAACUAUUGGAAACGAUAGCUAAUACCGCAUAAUAUUCUAUAUUUCAUGAUAGAGGAUUGAAAGAUGCAACUGCAUCACUAAGAGAUGGACCUGCGUUGUAUUAGCUAGUUGGUGAGGUAACGGCUCACCAAGGCAACGAUACAUAGCCGACCUGAGAGGGUGAUCGGCCACACUGGGACUGAGACACGGCCCAGACUCCUACGGGAGGCAGCAGUAGGGAAUCUUCGGCAAUGGGGGGAACCCUGACCGAGCAACGCCGCGUGAGUGAAGAAGGUUUUCGGAUCGUAAAGCUCUGUUGUAAGAGAAGAACGAGUGUGAGAGUGGAAAGUUCACACUGUGACGGUAUCUUACCAGAAAGGGACGGCUAACUACGUGCCAGCAGCCGCGGUAAUACGUAGGUCCCGAGCGUUGUCCGGAUUUAUUGGGCGUAAAGCGAGCGCAGGCGGUUUGAUAAGUCUGAAGUUAAAGGCUGUGGCUCAACCAUAGUUCGCUUUGGAAACUGUCAAACUUGAGUGCAGAAGGGGAGAGUGGAAUUCCAUGUGUAGCGGUGAAAUGCGUAGAUAUAUGGAGGAACACCGGUGGCGAAAGCGGCUCUCUGGUCUGUAACUGACGCUGAGGCUCGAAAGCGUGGGGAGCAAACAGGAUUAGAUACCCUGGUAGUCCACGCCGUAAACGAUGAGUGCUAGGUGUUAGGCCCUUUCCGGGGCUUAGUGCCGCAGCU
rnacentral:rRNA from 1 species